AUGCACCCAAAUAACAUCUCAGAGGCCCAGGCGACCCCACAAUGGGCCAGCUGGCUACCUGCAUCAGCCCCAUCAGACUGUGAACUCAGGAGGGCCCCUGGACCAGCUGCCCCAUCCCCGGGCCUGUCAUCCAACAGGCACUCAACAAACGCUCGAGUGACCAAGGCCAUCGGGCCGGGCCGUGGGCCCCGACGGGGACUCACCUUGAGGGAGGGGAUGUCCUCGGCGCGGAUGACGAACUCGUCACGCUCGCGGAAGAUGCCCUCGCCGCCGCUCUCGCCCGCCUCCUCAUCCGUCUCCCCGCACACGGCCGCCGUCUCCUGCUUCUUGGCCAGGUGCAGGGGCCGCGCGUCGGGGGGCUCGGGCUCGUCGGGGGACGGGGCGGCGGGCUCCUCGGGGGGCGCGGCGGGCGGCGGGGGCGGCGAGGGCAGGGCCGGCGGGGCGGCGGCGGUGGGCGGGCGCGGCGCGGCGAGCUUGGCGCGGGGGCACCAGCGGGGGCGGCGAGGGCAGGGCUGGCGAGGGGGCGGCGGCUGGGGCGUUGGGCGGGGGGCGGCGAGGGCGGGGGCUUCUCCUCCAGCAGCGGGGGCUCUGGGGGCGAGAGGGGCGUCAGGGAUAGACAUCCGGGUUGUGAGCCCCCCCCACGCCCCCCUAUCUCCCAGGCUCGGCCUCAGAGCAUCAACGUGCUGCCCAUCGACAUCCCCGCACGUCACGCAAGUCCCCACCACCCAGCUGUCAGGGAAAGGUGCCCCCAGCCCGUUCCCGCUGUCUCCACCCCUGCACCCCAACACCCCUCCUGAUCAAACUCACUUCUUCACGCAACACCACUUCUGCCCCGAGUCCCCCUCCUUCAACCCUCCUCUGUCCCCUGUCCCCUUCCCUGACCUUGAAUACCCACUCCUGUCCCCAGACACCCACAGGAAGCCCAUGUCCCUGGAACUUCUCUCUCCAGUGUCCCAAAACAAGCCCUCCCACCCAGACCUGCUGCUCUGUUCCUUCACAUCCUUGCCCAGCCUCCAAAGACCCCCUCCGUCUCAGCGUAGUUCCGUGUCCCAAUUCCAUUGCUCAGUGUCCCCCCGUCAUGGCCAGGAGUCCUCUCCUGUUCCAUCAAAACCGCCCCCCACGCCGGUCAUCUCCCUCAGGCCCCCCAGCCCAGUCCCCACAAAGCUCCUUGUCCUUCCUGACAUGCCUCCUGGUUCCCAAAUGCCAUUCACCAUCCUUAGCAUCUCCGCUCUCAUCCCUGAGAUGUCCCCUCCUGAGCGCACAGCCCCCCACCUCCACCCCCGGCCCCUUAUGGCCGCUCAGCUCCCCCACAGCCCUUCCACCCCACCAAAGACCCUGCCUGCUCACGCCUUCCCGGCCCCAGCAGCUAUUCUGAGCCCCCGAAACCUGUCUCCCAUCCCUCAUGGCCCUUUUAGGCCUGAAAGGUCUCUCUGUUGCCUCAAAGCCCCCGUCUGGGCUCCCAUUCCUUGCUGUUCCUCCCAACUUCUCAGUCACUCUCUCUGUGUGUCUAUCUCCUCGUUUCCCGCUUCCCUCGAGCUGUUCUUCAUUCUCCGGAUCGCGAAUGCCCCCUUUCCUGCCAGCUCCCCACUACCACCUUGGAUGGAUGUUUCUCCGUUCCCGGGGCCUUAG
rnacentral:lncRNA from 1 species